GGAUGUGAGGGCAAUCUGGCUGUGACAUCUGUCACCCCAUUGAUCGCCAGGGUUGAUUCAGCUGAUCUGGCUGGCUAGGCGGGUGUCCCCUUCCUCAACGAUCCAUGUGCAUCCCUCCCGAAGCUGCGCGCUCGGUCGAAGAGGACGACCACCCCCGAUAGAGGAGGACCGUUCCUCGGUCAAGGGUAUACAAGUAGCUACGCUCCCCUGCUAGAACCUCCAAACAAGCUCUCAAAAUAAAACAUAAAAAGCGCUGGGGAUGUAGACCCUUGCAGAG
rnacentral:snRNA from 1 species